CCGCGGAGCGAUGCUGCUGCUGGCUGCCGCCUUCCUCGUGGCCUUCGUGCUGCUGCUGUACAUGGUGUCUCCGCUCAUCAGCCCCAAGCCCCUCGCCCUGCCCGGGGCGCAUGUGGUGGUUACAGGAGGUUCCAGUGGCAUCGGGAAGUGCAUUGCUAUCGAGUGCUAUAAACAAGGAGCUUUUAUAACUCUGGUUGCACGAAAUGAGGAUAAGCUGCUGCAGGCAAAGAAAGAAAUUGAAAUGCACUCUAUUAAUGACAAACAGGUAAAUCUCUGUCUUCAGAAUGCAUUUUCUGUAUAACUCAGCACAGCUGUAUAAAGGAAAAACAGAGUUACUUCACCUGUGAAUAGUUAAUUGAAAGCAUAUAUGUACUGUUUUUUAAAAGGUGGAAUUGUUUGAAUGGUCUAGUAACUCAGAAUAUCACACACACGCAAAAUGAAUAGACUCCCACACACAUUCAUAUCUACAAAUGGUC
rnacentral:sRNA from 1 species